CAGAGAAUAGUUUAAUUAAAAUAUUAAUUUUGGAGAUUAAUGAUAGGAUUUCAGUUCUUUUUCUGA
rnacentral:tRNA from 1 species